rnacentral:tRNA from 1 species
GAGGGUAUAGCUCAGUGGUAGAGUGCAUGCCUAGCAUGCACAAGGUCAGGGUUCAACCCCCAGUACCUCCA